UCCCCAGCUAGGCUGAGGGGGGGGGGGCCGGAAAGCUUUCAGCUUUGAGCCAGUUAUUAAAACCCUUUUGAUUUGUUAAAACACCUUGCGGUCUGGCAACUGCAAGUGUCAAACAAGAAAUCAAAAG
rnacentral:sRNA from 1 species